UCUUCCGGUUCCUUCUGAUCUCAGCCAGAGAAGCGAGGGCAGCUGCACAGUAAGAGGAAGAGAAAACCAGGAGAAAACCUCGGAGUUUACCUGUGAAAAGGAAAAAAACUGUUUGAGCACUUACCCACUGGAGGUCCGGAGCCAAGUGACUGAACGAAGGCUAACCACUUGCCUUUCACCCAGAGAGCCGCGGCAAGGUCCGACAUCGGCGUGCUCCGCCUUGAUACACAGAGAGCAACGGUCAGGUUUUUUUUUGGAGGACUGAAGAGUCUGAGGUUCAGGACAAACUUCCUGCUGUAACAGAUGGCGAGCCAACCACCCUGAAGAAAGAUCAGCACCGAGAAGAUAUCCACGUACCCACUCAUUCACACACACAUCAUACAUUUACAUUACACUACAAAGACCUCUGGAAUCAGGUGAACUUGCAAUAAUCCUACAACAGGAAAACCUGCAACAACUCCUAUUUUACUUAAGGGUCCCAACGGACAUUUUUUGUUUCAAGUGUGCACACUGGGUUUUUUCUUAUUGUCUUACUGUUUGUAUUAUUAUUUUGUAUUCUGUACAAAUCAGACAAAUUGUUUUAUCUACUGUUAAAAAUUAUACGAGUGGCUACUCAACUGUUACCCCUGCGAUUGCCUCAUUAUUGUUGCUCAGUACAGUGGCUCCUCCCGAAUUUAGUGUCUUCUGAUUCUGGUCCAGGUAUUAUAAAUAGUCCAAGUAAUUAUUACACUGUAAUUCACUUUUACAUCCCUGAAGUUGGUUACAUUUACUUUUCCACAAACUGCAGCGACUGUCUGAGAUGUGGUUUCCAUCCAUAAGAGCCUCAGAAGUCUCUUCUAACCGGCGUUCCCUUUCAAAAUAACGGCUCUUUCUUGUCUCCGGUUAGAAAGCUCUUCUUCAGAGCUGCUGCCUCGGCAUCAUGUUGUCUCUCAGAGGUUUCAUUCAGAAUUCAUUAUUACCUUAAACGUUACUUUCAAAGUGACUCUCACUCUCCUGUCUUAACACAUUUCUCUGGAGGUAUUUAUUAUUUGGAAGGCAAAAUGCAGCUGUUUCAAACGUACCUAGUGUUGUCUUUGCUCCGCUUGCACACAAAACCCUCUGACGUUAAUAUGCCGUCCUGCACACUGCGAUGAGUCAAUUAUCCUCCGUUUGUAUCAUUCUCCUCACACUUUUUGCACGUUUACACUUUUCCCACUCCCCCGUCGCCAUGACGACUGCAUCGGUUUGAAUAUUCAGUCAGAAGAGGCUGUCCUCAUUAGGUGUACAUGCUGUUUUAUCAAGUUUAGAUAGCAACAGAGAAACGCUCUUCAUGUGGAGGAACAACCCGGCUGAGUCUUAUUUAGCUUCCUGCAGCAGUCACACUUCCUCCCAAAAAACAUCUGAAGGGGGAAACACUGCAGUCAAUGCAAUGUCUUGAUUUAAUUCAGUGCAGAAAAACAAUGCAAACAAACUGAAAGAAGCCUCCUGGAUGAGAGGUGACACAAGUCCGGUUGCUUUUCACUGAAACUCUCAGGUUGACAGGAAGUUGACAGAAUCAAUGUGUAUGUUGGACACAAAUUAAGAACAACAGUAGAUGGAUUAUAGAAGGCUUUGCAUCGACUUAUUAUCUGUGUAAAAAUAUGUAUGAUCACACAAGCUGUCAGUUUAUAUAACAGCUACAACAUCACACAACUACACUUCUGUUCAAAAGUUUGGGGUCAUCCAGACAAUUCCAUGUUUUCCAUUAAAACUCACACUUUUAUUCAUGUGCUAACAUAACUGCACAAGGGUUUUCUAAUCAUCAAUUAGCCUUUCAACACCAUUAGCUAACACAAUGUAGCAUUAGAACACAGGAGUAAUAGUUGCUGGAUGGUUAGCUUAUCAUAUCUAAUCAUAUCUUAUUAUCUUGUAUCUUAGCUUAUCUUAGCUGAUCAUAUCAUAUCUUAGCUUGUUGUGGUUUAUCUCAUCAUAUCUUGUCGUAUCGUAUUUUAGCUUAGCUUAUCAUAUCUUGUCGUAUCGUAUUUUAGCUCAGCUUAUCGUAGCUUAGCUUAGGUUAUUAUAGCUUAUCUUAGCUUAUCCCAAUGGAUCGUAUCUUAGCUCAGUUUAUUGUAGCUUAUCUCAUCUUAGCUUAUAAUAUCUUACUGUAUCCUAUUUUAGCUUAACUUAACAUAGCUUAGCAUAGUUUAUUGUCUUAUCAUAUUUUAUCGCAUCAUAUCUUACAUCAUAUUUUAGCUUAGCUUAUUAUAUCUUAGCUUAGUUUAUUGUAGCUUAUCUCAGCUUAGCUUAUCAAAUCUUAACUUAUUGUAUCAUAUUUUAGCUUAGUUUAACAUAGCUUAGCAUAGCUUAUUGUAGUUUAUCUUUUAUCAUACCUUUUAUCGUAUUUUAGCUUAGCUUUUCGUACCUUUGCUUAGCUUAUCGUAGCUUAUCCUAUCUUAGCUUAUCACAUCUUAUCGAAUCCUAUCUUAGCUUAACUUAUCGUAGCAUAGCUUAGCUUAUUUUAUCUUACCUAUAUCUACUUUAAUAUUUAAAGUUCCCCUGAGGUUAUUCAACUUCCAUAAAAACUUGCUGUGUAUCAGAAUUACAUAUUUAGAAGCUGUUUUCAAUGGAGACAAUUCUGUCAUUACUAAAAUAUCUCAGACGUAACUCUAUAAUGUUACAGAUCUAUGAGGUCCCUGCCUCUUGACAUACAAACCCUCUCCAACUGCUGCAGCUUGAGCACAACAGCUCACCAAACACUGUAAAACUACACAACGCUACACAGUGGAUCAUUUUGGAGCAAUCCAGCCACAAAAGCUAUCAAACUGGAAAGUCAUUCUAAAUAAAAAUAGCUCUCCCUUCUCUGCAAGCUCACACUGGAUAUUUAAAUUUAAUCCUGAAAAAAAUCUAAUAAUUCAGGUGCAAUAUCUCAGGUUCAUGUGCAAUGGUACUUAUUACCUCAGUAUAAUUACCUGCAUUACUUUCCACUCCUGCACUCUAGCUUUAUUGUGGCUAUACUUAUUUUAUUUUUGUAAUAUAAUGUCUUAUUGCUUUUGUUUACUUUGAAAAUACUGAAUUUCUUGUGCCAUUUUGUUGAUUUUUUUUUUUAGCAAUAUCUGGCACAAGAAUUUCCUUCAGGAUUAAAAUAUUUUGAUCUUAUCUAAUCUUACCUUUACUUAUCAUAUCUUAUCAUAGCUUAGCUUAUCGUAUCUUAUUUUUACCUUUACUCAUAAUAUCAUAUCGUAGCUUAUCAUAUCUUAUCUUACUUUUACUGAUCAUGUCUAUCGUAUUGUGUCUUAGCUUAUCUUAUUGUAUUGCAUCAUGGCUUAGCUUAUUGUAGCUUAGCUUAGCUUUUUAUAUCUUAUUGGAUCAUAUUUUAGCUUAGCUUAUUGUAGCUUAUCUUAGCGUAGCCUGUCGUAUCUUAGCUUAGUUUGCUGUAGCUUAUCUUUUCUUAGCUUAUCGUACCUUAACUUAUGGUAUUGUAUUUUAGUUUAGCUUAUCGUAGCUUAGCUUAGGUUAUUGUAACUGUUGUAUCAUUUUGGAGCAAUCCUAUGGAAGCAAAUCAGACUCAUCAGAUUCUGAAUUUUAAAAGCUGCUGAAUUUCUUACCUUGAAUUUUUUUGCAUCAAAAUUACGUAUGUGAAUUUUUUAUGCCUGAAUUUAGCUCAUCAAAAUUCUAAAAACCAGUUAAAAAUUCAAUGUCUUCAAAAUUCGCCAUCAAAAAAAUUCAAUGUCUUCAAAAUUCGCCAUCAAAAAAAUUCGGUGUUCAAAAUUCACCAUCAAAAAAUUCAGUGUUCAAAAUUCGCCAUCAAAAAAAUUCAAUGUUCAAAAUUCGCCAUCAAAAAAGUCAAUGUUAAAAAAUUCGCUGUCAAAAAAUUCUGUUCACAUCUGGGGGACUCAGGCGUAAACAAUCCAUCCUGGCCAAAAUCGAACCAACGCCCAGCCAAUCACGUGGCGCUCCUCCGGUCAUGUGACGCAGACGGUUCACUUCACAAGACCGGGGUCAACCACGGCUACCAGCAUGAACAACGGCGCUUCAAUGCACAAUGAGGGACGUCUGCAGCGACUGAGAAAGAGUCUCACCACAUCCUGACAUGAGGAAAAAGACUUUUUUGAAGACUACAAUGAGGAAAACUAUCAGACAGCAGACGGCUGCAUUCAAGGUGAGCUCUGAACAUUUGAUCUGGAACAGGAAUUCAAUAACGGCAGCAUGAGCUUCAUUUCAGUCUGUAGCUGCUGAAUUCAUGGAUGAAUCAUCUGGCACUAGAGAGGAAGACCAUCAAACAUCCAUGUCAGCUGAUGGAGGUCCAAGAGUCUCAUCCAACAACCAACCUACAGUGAAGACCUUGAAUCUGAUUGGACGGCCUCCUAUUCAGCCACGUGUGAACAAAUGCCUCUAAGUUGAUUUGUUUUCUAAAAUAAAUCCAGUUUGUGUCCUAA